rnacentral:rRNA from 1 species
GUUGUAUUAGCUAGUAGGUGAGGUAACGGCUCACCUAGGCGACGAUACAUAGCCGACCUGAGAGGGUGAUCGGCCACACUGGGACUGAGACACGGCCCAGACUCCUACGGGAGGCAGCAGUAGGGAAUCUUCGGCAAUGGGGGGAACCCUGACCGAGCAACGCCGCGUGAGUGAAGAAGGUUUUCGGAUCGUAAAGCUCUGUUGUUAAGGAAGAACGAGUGUGAGAAUGGAAAGUUCAUACUGUGACGGUACUUAACCAGAAAGGGACGGCUAACUACGUGCCAGCAGCCGCGGUAAUACGUAGGUCCCGAGCGUUGUCCGGAUUUAUUGGGCGUAAAGCGAGCGCAGGCGGUUAGAUAAGUCUGAAGUUAAAGGCAGUGGCUCAACCAUUGUAGGCUUUGGAAACUGUUUAACUUGAGUGCAGAAGGGGAGAGUGGAAUUCCAUGUGUAGCGGUGAAAUGCGUAGAUAUAUGGAGGAACACCGGUGGCGAAAGCGGCUCUCUGGUCUGUAACUGACGCUGAGGCUCGAAAGCGUGGGGAGCGAACAGGAUUAGAUACCCUGGUAGUCCACGCCGUAAACGAUGAGUGCUAGGUGUUAGGUCCUUUCCGGGACUUAGUGCCGCAGCUAACGCAUUAAGCACUCCGCCUGGGGAGUACGACCGCAAGGUGAAACUCAAAGGAAUUGACGGC